AUGGAACCUCCUAAUGGUUUUUGGUCUUCAUUAUGGAGCACGUUGUGCUUUCUCCCAUACUUCAUCAGCCUUUGCAUUCUAGGCACCAUUAAAGGUGUUAUUAUCUGUCCCAUAAUAUGCUUAAUAAUGACAAUUGCAAACUCAACUAUCAUACUUGGUCUUUGGUGCAUACAUAUUAUUUGGACAUAUUACUGUGUUCUAAGGAUGGAACAUUGA
rnacentral:lncRNA from 1 species